GUGGGGAAUCUUCCGCAAUGGACGAAAGUCUGACGGAGCAACGCCGCGUGAGUGAAGAAGGUUUUCGGAUCGUAAAGCUCUUUCGUUAGGGACGAACGUGCUCUUUGUGAAUAAUGAGGAGUAAUGACGGUACCUAAAUAAGAAGCCACGGCUAACUACGUGCCAGCAGCCGCGGUAAUACGUAGGUGGCAAGCGUUGUCCGGAAUUAUUGGGCGUAAAGCGCGCGCAGGCGGGAUAUCAAGUCUGUCUUAAAAGUGCGAGGCUCAACCUCGUGAGGGGACAGAAACUGGUAUUCUUGAGUGUCGGAGAGGAAAGUGGAAUUCCUAGUGUAGCGGUGAAAUGCGUAGAUAUUAGGAGGAACACCAGUGGCGAAGGCGACUUUCUGGACUUUAACUGACGCUGAGGCUCGAAAGCCAGGGGAGCGAACGGGAUUAGAAACCCCAGUAGUCC
rnacentral:rRNA from 1 species